rnacentral:rRNA from 1 species
UUUUUGAAAAUAAUUUAAAGUUUAAUCUGCCCACUGAUNAAAUUAUUAAAGGGCUGCAGUAUUUUGACUGUACAAAGGUAGCAUAAUCAUUAGUCUCUUAAUUGGUGACUUGUAUGAAAGAUUGGAUGAAAUAUAUACUGUCUCUAUUUAAUUUAUAAAAUUUAAUUUUUUAGUAAAAAAGCUAAAAUGAAUUUAAAAGACGAGAAGACCCUAUAGAGUUUGAUAAUUUAUUUAAUUAUUAUUAAUAUAUAAAUUUUAAAAUUAAAAUUAAAUAAAUUAUUUUGUUGGGGUGAUAGAAAAAUUAAAUUAACUUUUUUUUUAUUUUAUACAUUAAUUUAUGAAUGAAUGAUCCAUUAAUAAUGAUUAAAAGAAAAAAUUACCUUAGGGAUAACAGCGUAAUUUUUUUUUUUAGUUCAAAUAGGAAAAAAAGUUUGCGACCUCGAUGUUGGAUUAAGAUAAAAUUUAAAUGCAAAAGUUUAAAAUUUUGAUCUGUUCGAUCAUUAAAAUCUUA